rnacentral:rRNA from 1 species
AGUGAACGCUGGCGGUAGGCCUAACACAUGCAAGUCGAACGGCAGCACAGUAAGAGCUUGCUCUUACGGGUGGCGAGUGGCGGACGGGUGAGGAAUACAUCGGAAUCUACUUUUUCGUGGGGGAUAACGUAGGGAAACUUACGCUAAUACCGCAUACGACCUACGGGUGAAAGCAGGGGAUCUUCGGACCUUGCGCGAUUGAAUGAGCCGAUGUCGGAUUAGCUAGUUGGCGGGGUAAAGGCCCACCAAGGCGACGAUCCGUAGCUGGUCUGAGAGGAUGCACAGACACACGAGCUCAGAGACACUCCCGAGUCCUCUGCGAGGGGCAGGAGUGGAAUAUAGGGCACUAGGGGCAAGAGUGUGACACACACAUACCGCGUGUGAGAAGAGCGCCCGGGUUGUAAAGAGCCCUUGUUGGGGAAGAAAAGGCGGCGGUUUAAACCCCGGCGGUUUGACGGUAACCAAAAAAAAAGGCACGGCUAACUUCCUG